AUUGAACGCUGGCGGCAUGCCUUACACAUGCAAGUCGAACGGUAACGGGUCCUUCGGGAUGCCGACGAGUGGCGAACGGGUGAGUAAUAUAUCGGAACGUGCCCAGUCGUGGGGGAUAACUGUUCGAAAGAGCAUCUAAUACCGCAUACGACCUUAGGGUGAAAGGGGGGGAUCGCAAGACCUCUCGCUAUUGGAGCGGCCGUUAUCAGAUUAGCUAGUUGGUGGGGUAAAGGCCUACCAAGGCAACGAUCUGUAGUUGGUCUAAGAGGACGACCAGCCACACUGGUACUGAGACACGGCCCAGACUCCUACGGGAGGCAGCAGUGGGGAAUUUUGGACAAUGGGCGCAAGCCUGAUCCAGCAAUGCCGCGUGCAGGAAGAAGGCCUUCGGGUUGUAAACUGCUUUUGUCAGGGAAGAAAUCUUCUGGGCUAAUACCCCGGGAGGAUGACGGUACCUGAAGAAUAAGCACCGGCUAACUACGUGCCAGCCGCCGCCGUAA
rnacentral:rRNA from 1 species